rnacentral:tRNA from 1 species
UCCCUGGUGGUCCAGUGGUUAAGACUCUACGCUUCCAAUGCAGAGGGCACAAGUUUGAUCCCUGAUCAGAGAA